rnacentral:rRNA from 1 species
UACGUAGGUGGCAAGCGUUGUCCGGAUUUAUUGGGCGUAAAGGGCGCGCAGGCGGUUCGUUAAGUCCGAGGUGAAAUCUCCCGGCUCAACUGGGAGAGGUCUUCGGAUACUGGCGGACUGGAGGUGAGCAGAGGUGAGUGGAAUUCUCGGUGUAGUGGUGAAAUGCGUUAGAUAUCGAGAGGAACACCAGUGGCGAAGGCGGCUCACUGGGCUCUACCUGACGCUGAGGCGCGAAAGCCAGGGGAGCAAACGGG